GUCGUCACUUCCAUUAUUGCCUGCACCUGUGCAAUCAUGUGACACGAGACACUUUUCAAAAAUGUUUUUCUAGACACAGGAGAGGUCGGGUUGAAACAUUACUGAUGUUUCACGUUAAAAAUGGCUCUAAAGAUUGAUGCUAAACAACGUUUGACAUGUUUGAACGAACGUAAAUAGAUUAUUUUUUAAACUUUUUAAACUUUUCGCCGUGACUUCCCACCCCCCCGCCAUACUUUUUAGUAGCCACCGAAGCGCUAACAACUUGGAGUUAUUUGGACAUCAAUUAUGAACUUUGUCAAAAGAAACCACAUUUGUAGUGGACCUGGGAUUCCUGGAAGUGCCAAUGGAUGAAGAUAAUCAAAGCAACGAUCCCGGGGAAUAGUUACAGAGGAGAGGAGGAGGGAUGAAUGAGCCAAUUGCAGAGAAGCAAAAGCUGUUUAAUACAGUAUCUUCAGCAGCAACACUCAUUGAGUGAACUCUGACAACCUCUCUUAUUUUUUUGAGUGGCUGUUGUUUUUAUUCAUGAAUUGGACUAUAGCACAAUACUCCUUUUAAAAUAGUGAAUGCUGUUUACUAGAAUUUGGUCAAUAUUAAAUAGUUAAUGCAUAAUCAUUGAAUAAGGUAUCAGGGGAUUUUUAUGUGCUAUAAGGUUAUUCUAAAUCAGUCUUGUUACUCACUACACAGACUGAGAUAUCUCAAUCAUUAGAGUUUGUUAAUUGUUCAUUUCCAGAGAACAUAUAAGUACCAUUAUUUAAUAUAUUGAAGAAUAUUAUGUUACCAGGAUAUGUGUGUUAAUGGGAGCAAUCACUGAACAACAAUGUACACAGAAUGCACUAUUUACUUCCUUACAUAAUUACUUCAUUCUUUAUGGACAUUUUAUUGCCUGCCUGGAAAGUCAAGAUGAAGCACAUUUCAUGUGUACAACUAAUUAUAAUAUGUAGCAAUGUAGCAGUGGUGUCCGUGUAUUUCAGUGUAAGUAACUAAAAGUAAACAUUACGUUUCCACAAUAUCAUAACAUACAGUACUUUAAGGUCCUCAGGGCCAAAUAUAGCUUCCUACAUUUGAUAAUUUUCUCAGGAGCAACUUGUAUGGAAAUGAUUAAAAAAAAACACACCUUCAUCCUUCUACAAACAACUUCAGGAGUUGCUAGAAAUGUAAAGGUAAUUAAAAAAGCCAGUAAAAAUGUUUUGUCAACUUGUAUAAUACUUUAUUUUAGGAGGCAUUAAAAAGAACGAGGACAGUCAAACAGUCAAAAUCAUCGGUUUGUUCGUCAUAUGUUUUCUGUCUGCCUCAAUGCAUUUCUACAACAAAUUUGUACCCUUAUGUCAAUGAUGUAUACUUAGUUGAGUGGUUGAUAUGACUGAUAUACAGUACAUACAUAUGUAUAUACA
rnacentral:lncRNA from 1 species